CGCAUCUGUGCAUGCAGCAUAUCAAUAAGCGGAGGAAAAGAAACUAACAAGGAUUCCCCUAGUAACGGCGAGUGAAGCGGGAAGAGCUCAAAUUUGAAAUCUUAAAGGGUUUCCCUUUACGAAUUGUAGUUUAAAGAAGUGUUUUCUGUUGAGGUUUUGGUAAAAGUUCUUUGGAAUAGGACAUCAUAGAGGGUGAGAAUCCCGUAUUUGACCUUUACUUUCAACUUUGUGAUACACUUUCAAAGAGUCGGAUUGUUUGGGAAUGCAGUCCAAAAUGGGUGGUAAAUUUCAUCUAAAGCUGAAUAUUGGCGAGAGACCGAUAGCGAGCAAGUACCGUGAGGGAAAGAUGAAAAGAACUUUGAAAAGAGAGUUAAACAGUACGUGAAAUUGUCAAAAGGGAAGCGUUUGACACCAGUGUUGUUUUUCUGAAAAUCAAUUAAAGAACUGUUUAUGCUAAGUUGUUUAGACUUUAUCAGCUAUACUGUUUAGUUUUGAGCUUUUCUUUAAUGCACUUUUCAGUUAACAAGUCAACAUCAAUUUCUUUUGCUGUAAAAAAGCUUGAGGAAGGUGGCUUGAGAUUCGUCUUAAGUGUUUAUAGCCUCUUGCCUAUGCAGUCGGAGAGAUUGAGGUCUGCAGCGUAGAUCCUUCGGGGCUAAAUGCAUUUGUGCUAAGUUAUAGCAUUUUAUAGACAACUUGUUGACUAUGAUUUGUCUUGUAGCUUACUCGCUUAUGUUAUUUUACCUACGCUUAGGAUGUUGAAUCUGUGCGAGACUAC
rnacentral:rRNA from 1 species